rnacentral:lncRNA from 1 species
AACGACCAAGCGGCAACGCGUCUGAGGCUCGUCAGCGGUGCUGUCAGGGGACCUGACGCAGAGACCACAUUGGGUCCGUUGCACCGGGUCCCCGUCCGGGUCCCCGUCCGAGGCAGCGCUGGUGGACUCUGCACGGUGCCCCUCCGCUGCCACUUGGGCGUUGCCCACGGAGAAUUUGUCCGCGCCCCACUCCAGGCCAAUGCGAGGCUGAAACUACACUAACCAGAAAGCCAAGGGGAAUGGCGGCGAGCUAUGGGCCAAUCACAGAAGAAGAGCGACUUCCUGCGGCUCACGGGACUUCCGGCGCCUCCGUUGUGGGCGUUCAUUUUGCUCUUGACAGGGCUAGGGGACCUUUGAGGAUGUGGCCAUGUACUUCUCCUGGGAGGAGUGGGAGAUCCUUGAUGAAGCUCAGAGACAUCUGUACUGCGAUGUAAUGCUUGAGAACUUGGCGCUUGUGGCCUCACUGGCUGAGCAUGGGUAUUGCUUCUUCCUCUGGACUAUCUGCUGUGUGUGAGGAGCUGGGUCACAAGCACAGCCUACUCCUUUCCCUGAGGAGCCCCAAUAUCUGCUUCUGAAGCUUUCUGGAGAAAGGCUCAGGACUGAGGGUCUGGCUGGCUGCCCAAGUUUGUCCAGAUCAGUGGCACUUCUGUGCCCAGGCUCUUCCCUCUUUUUAUUUUUUUAAGUUUAUUUAUUUAUUUUUGAAAGAGAGAGAGAGUGUGCGUGCAAGGGAGGGGCAGAGAGAGAAGGAGACAGAGAAUCCCAAGCAGGCUCCGCACUGUCAGUGUACAGCCUGACAUGGGACUUGAUCUCACAAACUGAGAGAUAAUGAUCUGAGCCAAAAUCAAGAGUCAGACACUCAACCAACUGAGCCACCCAGGCACCCCUUCUUCCCCUUUUUUAAAAUUUUUAUUU